rnacentral:rRNA from 1 species
GACGAAGGUGGCGAGCGUUGUUCGGAAUCACUGGGCAUAAAGCGCACGUAGGCGGCGACGUAAGUUGGGUGUGAAAUCCCCCGGCCCAACCGGGGAACUGCGCCCAGUACUGCGUUGCUUGAGGAUCCAAGGGGUGCAUGGAAUUCCCGGUGGAGCGGUGAAAUGCGUUGAUAUCGGGAGGAACUCCGGCGGCGAAAGCGGUGCACUGGUGGAUUACUGACGCUGAGGUGCGAAAGCCAGGGGAGCAAACGGGAUUAGAUACCCCGGUAGUCCUGGCCGUAAACGAUGGGCACUAGGUAGGGGGAAACCAAACGUCUCCCUGCUGGAGUGAAUAUAUUAAGUGCCCCGCCUGGGAAGUACGGUCGCAAGGCUGAA